AUUUUAAACAGGCUUUUUCUUCCAGGUAUUUUAAACAGGCUCGUCUUCCCUAUGGAAGAAGCCCGUUUAAAAUAGUCGAGAGAGCCUUCUAGAUGCCUGGACGUUGUGAUUGGUUACACGGCCCGUGUGACCAUUAGCAUGCGCUUUGAUUGGUCAAUCGGCUACCGUGACUCAACGUCUAACAGGAAACUAUAGCACGGUUUAUGUUAUUGAAACUGUUGUUUCGAGAAGUAAUUGAAUUCAUAGUAUUUUAGUUCUUUCAUCUAUGGCUGAAUGAGGAGUAGUAGAACCGGACCUGGUGGCAGAUUUACUUGCAAAGCCAUUCUCAAGGAGGACGUUUGAGGAAAAGCAGGAAAUCGUAGCAUAUGGCCGCCCUACCCCACAGCUAACAGCCUUGACCCAGCAAGAAAACACAUUUAUGCUUCAGUUCGCCAACUACGAACGAUAUUCCUGGAUUACAGCAUCGGAGAAGAGUUGCCAACUGUAUUGCUGGGAAUGCCUUUUAUUUGCGACUGAGCGUCUUAGUGUUUACUGCCACUGUGGAGCGGACAUUCUCAGCCUUAAAACGCAUCAAAACUUAACUACUCCAGAAACGCAACUGGAGGCUCGGCUGUCCUCACUGGCGUCCAUGGCCAUUGAGAGGGACCUGCUGGUGGAGCUCCGCCACAUGGACACACUCUACAACCGCGUCAUCGAACUCUUUCUUCGCAAAGAGAGGAGAAUGAACUUUGUUUUUAAGUGAGCAUCUGUCUGUGGCCUCAUCCUCAGCACCUCCUGCUGGUGUCCCCCAGUUCGUGGCCUCGGACUCCGCAAGGCCUUUUCUGCGACCCGCUCUGUGUCAAUGGUGGUUUUGUAUGAAUUAUUUUGUAUGUGUUGCAUCUUCAAAUUAGCUCCGAUUCUCCUUUCAGUUCGCUAAAUCAUGCUUUGGUGGGUCACAGUCUGCCUCACUAAAUUGACUAUAGGACCCCCAGCCAUUCUCCUCCUCCUUCUCCAUCCUCUGUGAGGACACCUAGCCCUGUUCCUCCUCCUUCUCCAUCCUUUGAAACUACAGCACUGCAGAAGAUGCUAGUGAGCCUGGAGGAGUUCAGCCAGCCGCUGUUGGGGCUGCAGCUUCAUUCUGGUUGCCGGGUGAAGUGAGAAAGACCCUCCUCCCUGUCCCCCUUCAAACACACUCUCCGGCAAACUGCGGCCAGAUUAGAAGCUGUGUGAUUUCUGUUUACCGUCUGGCCCGUGGGAGGGGACGGCACAUUCUUCACAGAUCAGAGGGAGAUGUAAUCUCACAGCAGAACUGCUCCAGUCGGCCAAGGUUUGAAUGUGUGUGUUUUUCUAUAAGUGUGUAUGUUUAUGUGUCUGAGUAACAUCUCAUAGCUUUGCAGCACUACUGUUCAGCAUUUCUUAUCAGUGGCUGUCGGGGGCAGAUAUAUCUCCUGCUGCUGCUGCUCCUCAAUCACACGCUCCCUGAAAAUUAAGCUUUGAAGAAUGUCAAUUACAUGCACUUCAAUGUGUAACACUUAAUAUCGAUGCACAUCUAUCUUCCCUCAACUUUAUUUCCUCCUUCAAAAAUUGUUAUCCUGCUGCUAAAAAACAGCUCUUUGAUAUUCGGUUGUUUCAGGUCGAAUUAGAAAUUAGCAGCAAUGCCAGAUUCCUUGGCAGAAGUGUUGUGACGGGGAUCACAGAGCAGGAGAGAGUAAACAAAAAUGUUGUUUCUGUGUGUUUCAUA